GACGGAGGAUGCAAGCGUUAUCCGGAAUUAUUGGGCGUAAAGCGUCCGCAGGUGGCUGUUCAAGUCUGCUGUCAAAGCGCAGAGCUUAACUCUGUACAGGCGGUGGAAACUGAAGAGCUAGAGUAUGGUAGGGGUAGAGGGAAUUCCCGGUGUAGCGGUGAAAUGCGUAGAUAUCGGGAAGAACACCAGUGGCGAAAGCGGGUCUCUGGGCCGAUACUGACGCUGAGGAGCGAAAGCGUGGGGAGCGAACAGG
rnacentral:rRNA from 1 species